GUGCCAGCCGCCGCGGUAAUACGUAGAGUGCAAGCGUUGUCCGGAAUUAUUGGGCGUAAAGGGUACGCAGGCGGAUAAUCAAGUCAAGCGUGAAAGGUGUCGGCUUAACCGACAGACUGCGUUUGAAACUGAUUAUCUUGAGUGUAACAGAGGAGAGUGGAAUUCCUAGUGUAGUGGUGAAAUACGUAGAUAUUAGGAAGAACACCAGUGGCGAAGGCGACUCUCUGGGUUAACACUGACGCUGAGGUACGAAAGCUGGGGGAGCGAACGGGAUUAGAUACCCGAGUAGUCC
rnacentral:rRNA from 1 species